rnacentral:misc_RNA from 1 species
CAGUGUGCUUCUAGCGUGUGGAGAGGAAGGGUGCGGUCGUCGUUUUGUGUGACAAGCCUAUUAAAGCUCUGUUAGAAUGGAGUGAAUCUGAGAAAAUUAUCGGUUUACCAGGUACUUUUAGAAGCCCUUCAUCAUGGAUAAGAUACGCGUGGCCGUGAGGGUGCGGCCCUUCAACAGGCGAGAGAAGGAGCUGGGCAGCAAGAGCAUCGUCACCAUGAGUGGCAUGCAGACCAUCCUGCACCACCCCACAGCCCUCGACAAGCCUGACAGUCGGAAGCAACCCAAGAGCUUUGCAUUUGAUCACUGCUUCGAUUCCCUAUCCAGCGAGAGCCCUUCCUUCGCCUCGCAGGAGACGGUGUUCACGGCCAUGGGGGAGGACAUCCUUAACAAUGCCUUCACCGGGUACAACGCCUGCAUCUUCGCCUACGGGCAGACUGGCUCGGGCAAGUCGUACACCAUGAUGGGCGCGGCGGACCAGAAAGGCCUCAUCCCGCGGCUCUGUGACACCUUGUUCGAGAGGAUAGCAGCCAACACCUCGCCGCACUCCGUCAGCCAUAAGGUGGAGGUGUCCUACAUGGAGAUCUACAAUGAGAAGGUUCAUGACUUGUUGGACCCCAAGGGCUCGCGACAGACGCUGCGGGUGAGGGAACACAACAUUCUGGGACCCUACGUGGACGGCCUCUCUCUACUGGCUGUGUCCUCCUACGAAGAGAUCGAGCAGCUCAUCGAGGAGGGCAACAAGGCGCGUACCGUGGCGGCCACCAACAUGAACAGCGAGUCCUCCAGGUCCCACGCGGUGUUCACGGUCAUCCUCACCCAGACCGUGACAGACGUGGCGUCGGGUGUGUCAGGAGAGAAGGUAUCCAAAAUGUCCCUGGUUGACUUGGCGGGGUCAGAGAGGGCAGUGAAGACUGGGGCCGUGGGCGAGCGGCUCAAGGAAGGCUCAAACAUCAACAGAUCCCUCACAACCUUGGGACUUGUCAUCUCCAAGCUGGCUGAUCAGGCUGUGGGGAAGGCAAGGAGCAAAGGUGACAACUUUGUCCCCUACCGAGACUCUGUCCUCACCUGGCUGCUCAAGGACAACCUUGGAGGCAACAGUCGAACAGUCAUGGUAGCCACUGUCUCUCCAGCUGGUGAUAACUUUGAAGAAACGCUUUCAACGCUAAGAUAUGCUGACCGGGCAAAGAGAAUUGUUAACCACGCUGUUGUCAAUGAAGAUCCCAAUGCCAAAAUCAUUCGUGAACUACGUGAAGAGGUUGAAACCUUAAGAACACAAUUACUGAGUUUGCGUCAGAUGACACGAGAUGGUCCAGCAUCCUUACAGGAAGAGGAAAGCCUCAAUGAAAAACUCCAUGAAAGUGAAAAGCUUAUUACAAAUCUUUCUGAAACUUGGGAAAACAAACUCAAAAAGACAGAGCGCGUCCAGCAGGAAAGGCAGCAGGCACUGGAGAAAAUGGGCAUCAGUGUGCAGGCAUCUGGUAUUAGUGUGGAGAAAAAUAAAUAUUAUUUGGUGAACUUGAAUGCAGAUCCAUCACUCAAUGAGAUGCUUGUUUAUUAUCUCAAGGAACGUACGCUGGUAGGGCGUCCUGAUGCAGGCAGUGAACCCAAUGACAUCCAGCUGUCUGGAGUGGGCAUUGAGACACACCACAGCGUUCUUUGCAUCGAGAAUGGUGACCUGUUUAUUGAGCCUUAUCCUAAUGCUCGUACGUGUGUCAAUGGGUCACAGGUCACAGAGAAGGUGCAGCUUCGGCACGGGGACAGAAUAUUGUGGGGAUUCAAUUACUUCUUCCGUGUCAACUGUCCAAAGACCAGUGUUGGAGGCAACAACUCAGAACCACAGACACCUGCACAGCCCAUUGACUACAACUUUGCCCGGGAGGAGCUGAUGCUGAAGGAGCUGAGUAAUGAUCCAAUCCAGGCAGCCAUUCAGAACCUGGAGCGGCAGCAUGAGGAAGACAAACAGAUGGCCCUUGAAAAGCAGAGACAAGAAUAUGAAAAGCAAUUCCAGCAGUUAAGGAACAUUUUGUCUCCAACAACUCCCUAUGCUCCUUACAUGCCCUUCGACCCACUAAGAGGCACCAAAAUGACCCCGUCCACACCCACCUCUCAGCUCAGGAUAGAGAGGUGGGCCCAGGAGAGAGAGGACAUGCUCGAGCACAGUUCCAUUUUGUACCCUGGCAGAGAGGAUACAUUUCGCCGCAGUCUGGCCCAGCUCAGGCAGGACAUCAUGAAGGCCAACACCUUGGUGAGGGAAGCCAACAUUUUUGCUGAUGAAAUGGGAAAACAGACAACCUUUGGUGUUACCCUGCAGAUUCCCCCACAGAAUUUGUCUCCAAACCGCAAGAGGUCUGCAUUUGUUAGUGAGCCAGCCAUUCUAGUCAAGAGGAAAGGAAAACCUAAUCAGGUCUGGUCCAUGGAGAAACUGGAGCACAAAUUGAUUGUCAUGCGAGAAAUGUAUGAUGAGCAACAUAACAACCCACUUGCUGAGUGUUCAGCAGCAGAUCCUUUCUAUGAGAGCCAAGAGAAUCACAACUUGAUAGGAGUUGCCAACAUCUUCCUGGACUGUUUGUUUCAUGAUGUUCGGCUAAACUACCACGUACCAAUUAUAUCACAGCAAGGGGAAGUAGCAGGAAGGUUACAGGUUGAAAUCUGUCGUACUGCUGGUCAAUUUCCUCAGGAGAGAUUUGCAGACACAUUUUCUGAUUCUUCUAGUGACUCCGCUCAGAGCAGAGAGGAGGAUGAAGUUCAGAACAGUGCAGUGACUGUAAGGGUGUCUAUCAAGCAAGCAGCUGGUCUUCCUCCUUCCUUGUCCCACUUUGUUUUCUGUCAGUACCAGUUCUGGGGUCAGACUGAGGGAGAGGUUGUUGCUCCAGUUGUCAAUAAUGAAUUUCCAGCAGCUCCAACAUCAAAAGAUUCCAUCACAUUUAAGUUUGAACAUACAAAAGACUACACAGUGCUUAUUACUGAAGAUUUUCUUGAGCACUGUGCUGAUGGCGCACUCUCCAUUGAGGUUUGGGGGCACCGAUCAGCUGGGUUUGGUGUAGCUCGAACAGGUUGGGAAGUAGACCAGCAGUUGGCAAAAGCAAGGUCGUUAGUUGACAGAUGGAGUGAGUUGACCCGCAAGAUAGAAAUGUGGGUGGAGAUCCAAGAGCUGGGAGAAUGUGGGGACUAUGUGUCAGUUGAGGUGUCUCCCCAGAAGGAUGUGAUGACAGGAGGGGUGUACCAGCUGAGACAAGGACAGCAGAGGAGGAUUGUAUGCAGAGUGAAGCCUGUGUCAAAUUCAGGAACCUUGCCCCUCAUUUGUGAAGCCAUUACUAACAUCAGUAUUGGGUCAGUAUGUGGACGUUUGAGAUGUCAGAGGCAGCUGGAUUCUUACACUGAAGAAGAUCUCAAUGUCCUGCGGGAGAGGUGGAGUGAGGCACUCAAAAGGAGAAGGAUGUAUCUAGACCAACAGAUUCAAAAAAUAAUAAACAAAGGAGACAAGAAUGAAUGUGAUACAGAGCGAGAACAGUCAUUGGUGGACCAGUGGGUCAGCCUUACGGAGGAGCGGAAUGCUGUGCUGGUACCUGCUGCUGGGUCCAGUAUUCCUGGAGCACCAGCUGACUGGGAUCCUCCAUCAGGAAUGGAAGCUCAUGUUCCAGUUCUAUUCUUGGAUCUCAAUGCUGAUGAUUUUUCGACACAAGGAUACAGUGGUGACAGCUUCACCUUGGCUGGAAAUAAUGCAAUAAUACCUAAGGAAAACUGCAAUAAGUUCUUCCAGUUGCCCAUUGUAAAGUGCUAUGAGAAGGAUGUUUGUGCAGUGGCUUCUUGGGACUCCUCCAUCCACGACAACAUGUACCUCAACAGACUCACUCCAAGUGAUGAGAGAGUCUACCUCAUUGUGAAAGCUGUGGUCAGAUUGUCUCAUCCAGCAGCAAUGGAUCUUGUCCUGAGGAAACGACUUGCUGUCAAUAUAUAUAAAAAACAGUCACUAACAAGCAAAUUUGUAAAAUCAAUAAUUGGCUCAGUGAACACUUUAUAUGAAACAGGAAUUAUGUAUGAAGUAGUGUCAAAUAUUCCUAAGGCAAGUGAGGAGUUGGAAGAACGAGAGUCCCUUGCUCAAAUGGCAGCGAAUGCUGAUGAUUCUCAUGCAGAAGAUGGAGAAACAUAUAUAGAAAAAUAUACCAAAGGAGUUACAUCAGUAGAGUCCAUCUUGAUGCUUGAUAGAUUACGUCAGAAUGUUGCUGUUAAAGAGUUGCUUCAGUCUGCUGGCCGUCCCCUCAUGAGGAAGACUGCAUCCGUCCCUAACUUUUCUCAUGAAGUUGGUUGUGAUAGAGAGACAGGAUUAGCUAAGGCUGCACCACCUCCCCGGGGACGGCAGGAAGAGGGAGGUUUGAUCUUGCAGCUCCAGAAACGCUUGAGGACUAACCUAGAGCUGUUUGGCAGUCACGAGGCCCUUGAUGGAGUGACCAGGUCAGGCAGUGUAAUGGACCUCAAUGCUCAACUGUCCACAUCAUCACAGAAUAACCUGGACAAGAGCAAGCACCGGUAUUCCUUGCCAGGCCCCAGUGAGCGGCCGUUUGGCUUGUGGCUCAAAAAUGCUCGACCUACGUUCCUCAAUUUGAACCUCAACCUCAACUCAAUAAGACUUCAGGGAUCAACUCCUGCCAAGUCCGUCACUUCAGCCUCUCCAAGCCCUGGGCCAAUGAAAAUGACUCCCAGAAUGACAACACUGCAUGAGGAGAACACAAGAGAGGCGGCACCACUGCUGCACAUGGAGGUGGAAGAGGAGGAGGAUGAAGAGGAUGAACAUUCUGAAUUUGACCAGGAGGAACAAGAGAAUGGAGGAGUCAUAUCCAGAAGAACCAAUGGGGAGGAGGAAUUCAAUGAGUUUGCAUCAUAUCGGAGCAGUGGCCUUGCUGGCGGCAGACUGCAGCUUACACAGAGUCGAACAUUAGAUUCAUUGAACGAAGUUGCUGCCACCAAAGCAGGUACCCCGUCUACAGUAUCAAGUGGCUAUGGAUCUGGUGCAGUUUCAUCAACCACUUUAAGUGAAGAUUCUCUGUCAAUGAGAAGUGUCAGUGUUGAUGAGACUCCAGAUAAAGAUAUUCCAGCCAGUCAUGCCACCAUGGAUAUAUCAACCAUAAGCUCAGGUGAAAGCGACUCCAGUGAUACAAAAACCGUCAUUAAUCAGCAGUUGGAAGGCUUCAACUCCAUAGAGUCAGCAAACACUACUAACCCCAGCUCUGUUACUGGAAAGUCAGAGAAUGAGUUAAAAAUUGUUGAAGAUGAAGAGAAAGAAAACCACAUCACUGAUGUGCCGGAAUCCACCACCAAUAGUACUACUAAAUCUCUCUCCACGUCUGCAACAAAUUCAUUACCAGAAUCAGAGAGUCCACUUUCUCCUCUCUCCUCCUCCUCUUCCACCUCAUCACUGACGAUGGCUGUUGGUUCAGACGUUGUCAUGAGGCGUAGUGGUACCAGCAGAAAGAACCCCAGUCAUCGCAUGUCCUUCCCACUGGCUCAGUCUCAGGUGGCUAUGGCUGACUCACACAUCAUGAAUGGGACCUCACCUGCAUCUUCAUCUGAGUGUGUUGCAGAUUUUGACAAAACCUCCAACAGCAAGCCUCUAGCACCACUGCCAGACUGGUGUGAAGUUGGGGAAAGUAUUCAGAUCAGGCCAUACAACUACUCAGGAGUUGUUGCUUAUGUUGGUCACACAGAGUUUGCUCCAGGAACAUGGAUUGGAGUGGAGCUGGAUGUUCCUAUGGGCAAAAAUGAUGGCUCGGUGAAUGGGGUGCGGUACUUUGCCUGUCGUCCCAAGUGUGGCAUGUUUGUCAAGCCUGAGAAGCUGUUGCUGGAUCGGCGGGGGCGAGCCAUGCGGGCUGCACGAACCAACGGCAAUGAGCCCAGCUUAGGGGACAUGAAACGAUCUCGAUCCACAGCAGAAAAGCUCAGUGAUGUGGGCAUAAGAAGAAGCACUAGUAAAAGUGAAGGAUUGAAUAACAUGAGAAGGUCCAAGAGUCGCGCUGAAGGCCUCUCAUCUAUAUCUGAUCGCUCAAAGGCAACUACUACUCGUAAUAGGAAAUAGAAAGGAGACAUUCACAGUGUUGUCCAAAGUACCAAGGCUGCUAUAUACAGGGUGCAAUGCAACGGAAGUGUGUGUGCCAAUGGAGUAUACCAAAUGUUGUUUUGCUUAUUACAAUUAAAGUUGCUUCUUUGAUAAUGUUAACUGAUUAGAUCAGUUACACUGAGCAGAAACUAAGCUGAGACAAGUGCACAACAUUGAGAGCAGCCCUGCCCUAUACUUCCACCAAGUGUUACCCCGCGAACACGUCCCGUCGUCCCUCCAUUGUGAGAUCCUCGUCUAUGGUAGCAAUAGUCUGUACUUAACCUGCUUCCAGAUUUAGGCACUUUCUUGCUGGAUGACAAAUUUUUAUUUUAUCAUGAAACAAGAAUUUUAAUAAAAUAAUUUUAUCUAAUUUUAAAGAUAUUCAGCUUUUUUGAUACAUAAAACUUCUUUAAUUAGGACAUUUCAGCUCAAGAAAGUAAUUAUUUUAUCAGAACCUUAGCCAUAAGUAUUGAAAGGAAAUCAAAGUUUCCAGUGACCAAAGGCUAGCCAAAAUAAGAUUUUAUAAUGCAAAAAUGUGGUAACAGGUAAUGUAUACAGUAUGCGAGAAAAUGUUACUUUUGGGGAAAGUUCAGCAUAGCUUGAAUGUUGUAAUUGGUAGCAUAAAUUAUGAAUAUCAUUGGCUUUGUAUGUGCAUAGGAGUCAGUCAUUGGGCAUAGGAAUAGUCUUUGAGGAUGAAAAUGAAUUUUAUCUUGUAAUGAGGUUAUACGCUUUUGACACUCACACAAUAUAUUACAAGUUCUUUCAUUCCAUCGUUGGUUGCUGACAGGAGAUUGUAAGUAUUUUUACUUGUAUUUCCAAAGAUUAUGUGAUGCCUUGGCACUUUGAUUGUAUAUAAACUAUUGUAUUAAUUUUGAGUCAUUUUGUUGCCAUAUCUUUUGUUGUACAGUUACCUUUAAGUCUGUAAAAUUGUGAUCAUAUUAUUUAUAUUAAUAUAAGAGAUAUGUAUGUACACACACAUAUACAUAUAUAUAUAUAAAUAAAUGCAUAUAUGAAUAAAGAGAAUGAUUUCUGUAAAUUAUGGGAUGAUGUAUAUGUUACCAAUUUUCAUGCCUAUAUGUAUGACAACUUUAUUUUCUACACAAUUAUAUAUUGUUAUAACUAUAAAUCCUCCUCCCCUUUUGUCUUACUUAAAUGUUUGAGUAUCUAAAUAUAAAAGCUGCUAUUCAAUAAUGGAUUACAUAAAUUCAUUAGUUAUUCAAAUUUGGUUUACAAACUGGAGCCUAACAUGCCAAAGCUGUGGAUGCAUCACACAGCACUUGACACCAGACCACCGGUGGGGUGUGUGUGUGUAUGGAGAAUCACACACAGUAUUGUUCAUGCCACCAGUGUUCCCUAACAACUAGAAAAAAAGGACAAACUUGGCAUUGAUGCUUGACAACGAGAAAAGGAAAUACUAUCAAUUUUUUAAAUUUUCCAUCACACAGCUGUGCUUGUGUACAGCGUGAGUGGUGUGCUUCACUGUACAAGAUUAUGCUAUCAUGUAUCAGGGACACGUCAAUGUGACAUACAAAUGUUUACAGGGUGCAGCAAACCACCCACUGCAACAGGCUUCAAAACUGCAUAUUAUAUGAAAAUAAAGAAAUGCAAAUUACACAUAUCUAGUCUGCUGAGGCUUGUUACAUAGAUUUUUAAGUUCUAAUCACAAGUAAAAUUGAAGUAAAUGGAAGUGUGCCAUGUAGAAAUUGACAUUACAUUUUGUGAUUUAGCUUGUCAUCCAGGUUAAGACUUCCCCAUUCAACAUCUAUUCAAUGUUGAGACUAAAGUGCUAUAGUAUAUUUUAUAAAUGACACUGAAAUAUAAUGAUCACCAAAACAUCUAUCAGCCAUUCAUACAGUCUCAGCACAGUAGACUCCUAGUUGUAGAAUAUACAAUUAAUAAAUUAAGUUGUUGUACUCAAUAUGUUGCCAUAAAAAAGUGAGUGGGAAAGACCUUGUCAAAACUAAAGGUGUAGACUUUAUUCAGUAUAUUGAAAAGACUAAAAAUUUUCUGGUAUAACUCCCAAUAUGGGGAAGAUUAUUCAUUGAUUUUUCAAAGUGAAAAUUUUAUUACAAUAAAAUUGGGUUAAAAAUUAACAAGUCCUCAUAAUUUACUGCAAUUAAUUUCCCUGCAUUCUCAUAUAUGUAAGAUAAGAUGAAUAAUAGCAUAUUGCCUUGCUAUACAUCACUGUACUAGGAGUUUACUGUUAAGCUGGUGGGCAGGUCUGAUCCUGGAGGUUCUAGGCCUAUUCUAGAUGAAAAAUAUGCUGCUGUUUAAUAUAUAUACACAUAUGAACUUCAUUUUACAUGCAAAUACUUGUAAAAAGUUAGGUAUCAAUGAGUCCUAUUUUUCAUAAAUUUAUAAUUGAUCUACUUCAGAUUGAAAGUAGUCAGUCUGAGUUUAGAUGAAUAUAGCAUCCAAAAAUUACUAGAAUGGAUGCUUUCUUUCUUUCAAAGGGUUUGUUUAUGAUUUAAUUGGAAAACUGCAAUGAUGUUUAGAGACAUCUCAGCAAACUAAUUUAUGUUGUAGUAUGUGUUUAUCCCUUGCAGUUUGCCCAGUUCUUUGUGGGCAAGAUGUCCCUAAUGCUCCCUGCAUACUCCUCUCUACCUAUUGUAUGAGCUCCUCCACCAUAGUAACCUGACAAGACUUUGUACCUGGAUGAUGUUUGUCCAUCACUUGGGUUCCACACCUACCUGUUAAGGGGAUGGCAUAAUACUGCACCAUUACAACACCUAGCUACCUACCAUGGGGUUUGUCCCACCUGCCUCUCAUCCUCUUGUAAAGACUAGAAUUUGUUGUCAAUUUGAUACUGAAUAUCAAAACCAUUUAAAAUGUCCCUUAACAGAUUUGGAAUAAUGUACAUAAAUCUUGAUAUAUAUAUGAUAGAACAUUCUUGUUAAGGUUUGACACAAGUGCAUCAUGAUGUAGGUCAUCUUACAAAGGAAAAAACAAUCUUUGUCAAAUGAGUCAUAAAUAAAUGCUGAAUUAACUGUUA